UUGGAUUUGGAAUUAGGUUUUUUUUUUUUUACGUAUAGUGAAAAAUCCUUUUGAAUAAACGUCACGAAGUAUUUGGUUAAUUCUUUAGGAUUUGAGAUUAUAUAUGUGUGUUAGUGAUAGAAUAAAUUUAAAGCAUGUGACUUCUUCCUUUUAUUUUUUUAUUCUUUUAGUUUUUUUAAUUAUAAGAUGACAAAAAAAUGUUGACGUGGCAGCUGAGUCACUUAAGUGACUUGCCACAUCAAUUUUGACUCGAUCAAAAUUGACCUUNNNUAGGGGUCAAAAGUGCUAUUUUGAAACAUAGGUGGCCAAAAUCGCAACUACUGAAACUUAGGGGGCCAAAAUUGCUAUUUUGAAACAUAGGGGGCCAAAAUCGCAACUUUUUGAAACUUAGGGGGCUA
rnacentral:lncRNA from 1 species